CAGCCGCCGCGGUAAUACGAAGGGUGCAAGCGUUAAUCGGAAUUACUGGGCGUAAAGCGUGCGUAGGCGGUGAGUUAAGUCUGCUGUGAAAUCCCCGGGCUCGACCUGGGAAUGGCAGUGGAUACUGGCUCGCUAGAGUGUGUCAGAGGAUGGUGGAAUUCCCGGUGUAGCGGUUAAAUGCGUAGAGAUCGGGAGGAACAUCAGUGGCGAAGGCGGCCAUCUGGGACAACACUGACGCUGAGGCACGAAAGCGUGGGGAGCAAACAGGAUUAGAUACCCCCGUAGUCCCUGUCUCUUAUAC
rnacentral:rRNA from 1 species